UACGUAGGAGACAAGCGUUGUCCGGAUUUACUGGGCGUAAAGAGCGCGCAGGCGGUCGUUUAAGUCGAGUGUGAAAGCCCCCGGCUCAACUGGGGAGGGUCAUUCGAUACUGAUCGACUCGAAGGCAGGAGAGGGUAGUGGAAUUCCCGGUGUAGUGGUGAAAUGCGUAGAUAUCGGGAGGAACACCAGUGGCGAAGGCGACUACCUGGCCUGUUCUUGACGCUGAGGCGCGAAAGCUAGGGGAGCAAACGGG
rnacentral:rRNA from 1 species